AGAGUUUGAUCAUGGCUCAGGAUGAACGCUAGCGGCAGGCCUAACACAUGCAAGUCGAGGGGUAGAGGAAGCUUGCUUCCUUGAGACCGGCGCACGGGUGCGUAACGCGUAUGCAAUCUGCCUUGUACUGAGGGAUAGCCCAGAGAAAUUUGGAUUAAUACCUCAUAGCAUUAUGAAAUCGCAUGGUUUUAUAAUUAAAGUUCCAACGGUACAAGAUGAGCAUGCGUCCCAUUAGUUAGUUGGUAAGGUAACGGCUUGCCAAGACGAUGAUGGGUAGGGGUCCUGAGAGGGAGAUCCCCACACUGGUACUGAGACACGGACCAGACUCCUACGGGAGGCAGCAGUGAGGAAUAUUGGUCAAUGGACGCAAGUCUGAACCAGCCAUGCCGCGUGCAGGAUGCAGCAUCUAUGGUGUGUAAACUGCUUUUGUACGGGAAGAAACACUCCUACGUGUAGGAGCUUGACGGUACCGUAAGAAUAAGGAUCGGCUAACUCCGUGCCAGCAGCCGCGGUAAUACGGAGGAUCCAAGCGUUAUCCGGAAUCAUUGGGUUUAAAGGGUCCGUAGGCGGCUUUAUAAGUCAGUGGUGAAAGCCCAUCGCUUAACGAUGGAACGGCCAUUGAUACUGUAGAGCUUGAAUUACUUGGAAGUAACUAGAAUAUGUAGUGUAGCGGUGAAAUGCUUAUAUAUUACAUGGAAUACCAAAUUGCGAAGGCAGGUUACUACAAGUG
rnacentral:rRNA from 1 species